GGAGAGGUCGCAUAGUCUGGCCGAGUGCGCGCGCUUGGAAAGCGCGUAACCCCUAAGGGUUCGGGGGUUCGAAUCCCCCCCUCUCCG
rnacentral:tRNA from 1 species